rnacentral:rRNA from 1 species
GAUGAACGCUGGCGGCGUGCUUAACACAUGCAAGUCGAACGAUGAAGCCCAGCUUGCUGGGUGGCUUCGUGGCGAACGGGUGAGUAACACGUGAGUAACCUGCCCUUAACUCUGGGAUAAGCCUGGGAAACUGGGUCUAAUACCGGAUAGGAGCGUCCACCGCAUGGUGGGUGUUGGAAAGAUUUAUCGGUUUUGGAUGGACUCGCGGCCUAUCAGCUUGUUGGUGAGGUAAUGGCUCACCAAGGCGACGACGGGUAGCCGGCCUGAGAGGGUGACCGGCCACACUGGGACUGAGACACGGCCCAGACUCCUACGGGAGGCAGCAGUGGGGAAUAUUGCACAAUGGGCGAAAGCCUGAUGCAGCGACGCCGCGUGAGGGAUGACGGCCUUCGGGUUGUAAACCUCUUUCAGUAGGGAAGAAGCGAAAGUGACGGUACCUGCAGAAGAAGCACCGGCUAACUACGUG